CCCUUAGAUGUUCUGGGCUGCACACGUGCUACACUGGCAGGUUCAGCGAGCUUCAUGCCCUGAUCUGAAAGGAAUGGCAAAUCUUUUCAAAACCUGCCGUGCUUGGGAUAGAUGUUUGCAAUUAUUCAUCUUCAACGAGGAUUGCCUUGUAAGCGCACGUCAUCAGCGUGCAUUGAAUACGACCCUGUAUUCUGUACACACCGCCCGUCGCUCCUACCGAUUGAAGUUUUCGGUGAGUUGACAGGAGGAUUUUUUUGAAACUGGUUCGCCAGUGGAUUUUAGAUCCAAAUGCCAACGAAUCGAUGGCUUUAGAGGAAGGAGAAGUCGUAACA
rnacentral:rRNA from 1 species